AGCUUUGUAUUCAUCGAAUGAUAUUGAAGUGCAAAUUCAAAGGCAGGACAUCGUUGGGUCCUUAAGGCUU
rnacentral:tRNA from 1 species